CCUCCCCCGAGGCUCCUUGACCUGCCCUGCCAGGGAGGUGCUGCUGCCCCUGCCUGCUGGCCUGGCACAGGUGGCACUGAGGGCGCUGGGCCCAGGCCUGCAGCCCCCAGCCCGGCCCUGGGGGAGGCCUCAGCAGCGCCCCCAGGCCAGGCUGCAGUGCUGCGGGGACAAGCUGAGGGCCUGAGUGGGCACUGGGGGGCGCUGGGCGGGGACGGGGAGGGGCUGGGGGAUUAGUGGGGGCAUACAAGGAGGUGAGUGGGGGUCUCUGGGAGGCCAGUGGGUGGGUCUGCGGGUCCCUGGGAGGUCCCUAGGAGGGUCUGGGGGUCCCAGGGUGGGUCUGAGGGUCCCUGAGAGAUCCCUAGGAGGGUCUGGGGGUCCCUGGGAGGGUCUGGGGGUCCCUGAGCCCUCCCCCUGCAGGCUCUGGGUCUCCCGGGGGGCUGGAGGCCUGCGGGGGGAGGUCUCCUCCUUCCUGGAGCUGCUGGGGCUGUGCUGGAGACCAUCGAGCGCUUCGGAGGGGCGGGGCAGGGGCAGGCCCCGCCCAUGCCAGAGGACGCACCAAUCAGCUGCUGACCCUCCCCGUCCUAACCAGUUCCCCCCCCCCAUAAAGCACCAAACUCCACCA